UACGGGAGGCAGCAGUGAGGAAUAUUGGUCAAUGGACGAGAGUCUGAACCAGCCAAGUAGCGUGCAGGAUGACGGCCCUAUGGGUUGUAAACUGCUUUUAUAUAGGGAUAAAGUGAGGGACGUGUCCCUUAUUGUAGGCACUAUAUGAAUAAGGACCGGCUAAUUCCGUGCCAGCAGCCGCGGUAAU
rnacentral:rRNA from 1 species